AUGUCGUCGACGGCAGAUGAGCACACUGCACACCACACCCCAGCCAUUAUACAAGUCCUAAUUAUUUCCAUGGACAGUGUAUGCUGCCAAUUCGCCAGCAAGAAGAGUAUUGGCACAACUAAUUUUGUUGAUUCAGUCAAAUGGAAGCUGGAUCCUGUUGCCUGGUUUAUCUGCUUCCUAACUUCCAUGGACAUAAGUCAGCGGAGCUUUUGCCAUCUGGCUGCCCGGCGAGCAAAACAACCUAGCCAAUGGAGGAGUUUGACCAAGUCUCCCUUCUGUAAAGGACAGUACAAAAAGGGAGCGCCUAGAACUCAUUCGAAUGAGAUAUAA
rnacentral:rRNA from 1 species